AGCGAACGCUGGCGGCAGGCUUAACACAUGCAAGUCGAGCGGGCACUUUCGGGUGUCAGCGGCGGACGGGUGCGUAACGCGUGGGAACGUGCCCUCGGGUUCGGAAUAACUCAGGGAAACUUGAGCUAAUACCGGAUACGCCCUUUUGGGGAAAGGCUUGCUGCCGGAGGAUCGGCCCGCGUCUGAUUAGCUAGUUGGUGAGGUAACGGCUCACCAAGGCGACGAUCAGUAGCUGGUCUGAGAGGAUGAUCAGCCACACUGGGACUGAGACAUGGCCCAGACUCCUACGGGAGGCAGCAGUGGGGACUAUUGGACAAUGGGCGCAAGCCUGAUCCAGCCAUGCCGCGUGAGUGAUGAAGGCCUUAGGGUUGUAAAGCUCUUUUAUCCGGGACGAUAAUGACGGUACCGGAGGAAUAAGCCCCGGCUAACUUCGUG
rnacentral:rRNA from 1 species